GAUGGUCUAGACUAUGAACAGAGCUAGUAGCCACUUGAACAAGUGACUAACUGAGUAACCGGGGGUGUAUCACCCAUGUACACAAUCACGUAAAAAGGUUAGUGACUUUUUCAGGUAAGGAUAAGAAUAAGUGCUGCUAAAAAUAAAAAUAAAAAUAAAAAGAAAGAGAGAAGAAAAAGGGCAAGUCACCCCUAGGGGUUGCAUUAAAACUAACAUAAAGGAAUAAGCAUGAUUGAUUCAAAAACCUUUCUCUUGACCAUGGUAGGUGAAAGGAAACAAGGAAAGGAGAGGAUGACCUUAGUGCAUGUAUUCUAUACUGUGAUAAUUCAGAUUAGGAGUCUAGGGGGGCUGAUUAAGUGGUACUUAGGCUCUAAGGAAAAAGGGGCUUGAUUGGCUAAGUUAUUUGUUGCUUGAGGACAAGCAAAAAGCUAGGUGUGGGGGUAUUUGAUCAAGCAUAAAUUAGCC
rnacentral:lncRNA from 1 species